rfam:Glycine soja cultivar W05 scaffold328_20, whole genome shotgun sequence.
ACCUAAUAGGCUAAUAGAACUUACCCUAGAUAGAUGGUGGAAACUACCAAGUUGAAGUACGAUAAAGGCAAAGGGAAUUUCCAGUGGGACAGUGAAAUGCAUAGAUAUAAAAAAGAACACCAACAAUAAAGUACUAUGUUGAUUGACACUGACAUUGAGAGACGAUAGUUAGGGGAGUGAAUGAGAUUAGAUACCCGAGUAGUCCUAGUCGUAAACAAUGGAUACUAAGUGUUGUGUGUAUCGACGCAUGCAAUAUUGUAGCUAACGUGUUAUGUAUCCCGUC